GUCAACAGUGAUGGUAGGUCAACAGUGAUGGUAGGUCAACAGUGAUGGUAGGUCAACAGUGAUGGUAGGUCAGCAGUGAUGGUAGGUCAACAGUGAUGGUAGGUCA
rnacentral:lncRNA from 1 species